AGUGGAGCUAGGAAGUUUGCUGUAUUGCAGAACACACGCACAGACCUCUUGCAGUAUGAAAUGUCUUCACUCUCCAUACCUUGGGUUGUGCAGACUUAUCCAGGACAGAGUCACUGGCGUUGGACUCCUAAAGGACAAACGUCAGAGAGGG
rnacentral:lncRNA from 1 species